rnacentral:lncRNA from 1 species
GAUGUAUCAAUCGAUAAUUGUUCUGCAAUUGUAGACUGGAGAAUUCCGUAGCUUGCAUUAUUAUCUACCAAAAUGGCAUCAACUUCAAAAUCUCGGAAUCUGUCAUAGUUAUCCCAAUAACCAUUACAUUUCAGCAUUAUUGGGAUUUUUGACAUAAUUUUGUGUAGUUGAUAGGAAAACAAACGAGGAACAGAUUUAGAUUUGGCUCAGAUUGUAGAAUUUCAGUACUGAUGUAGAAGAACUGUAUUAAAAAAUUUGGAAGAACUACAAUAUGAUUGACUAUCACGCUGUAAAUUCUGAUUUUCGGUAUUGAUGUAGAAGAAUGAGAGAAUUUCGAAACUGAUGGCUAGGUAUGAUAGAUUCACGCUGGAUUUAGAUCUUUUUACGUUUUAAGAAGAUCAUUUAAUUG